UUAUAAUCGUAACCCAAAACAAACAUGGCUUCUUCCCUCCUCAAAACGGGGUUGAUGGCUCUUUGCCUCUUCGUCUCGGUCAUGGCGGUCACUGCUCAGUACGGCGAUUCAUCGCCUGAUGGCGAUAGCAACAACAUGCCACCAGGCAUGCACAUGGCGCCUUCGCCAACAGGCAAUGGCUUGUUCGUGCUUCCGUCCAUGGUGGUCGGAGUUCUCGCUUUGAUUGUGUGCUUCUUCGUCGUCGGAGAGAGGGUGUAAUGUGUCUAGCCUACAUAUCAUGCAGUUUGUCAUUGGAUGUGCUUGAGUGUUUUACUUUUUCUUACAGCAUAAUCUGAUUAUCUUGCUUCGCGAGUGUUUCGUCUACACUUAAC
rnacentral:lncRNA from 1 species